UACGGGGGGAGCAAGCGUUGUUCGGAUUUACUGGGCGUAAAGGGCGUGUAGGCGGCCACUGCAAGUCGGUUGUGAAAUCUCCGGGCUUAACCCGGAAAGGUCAAUCGAUACUGCAGGGCUAGAGUGCAGAAGGGGCAACUGGAAUUCUCGGUGUAGCGGUGAAAUGCGUAGAUAUCGAGAGGAACACCUGCGGCGAAGGCGGGUUGCUGGGCUGACACUGACGCUGAACUGCGAAAGCUAGGGGAGCGAACGGG
rnacentral:rRNA from 1 species